UUGAACAGAAUUGGUGCGUGAUUUCGAUCGUAGCGAAGGCAGCUGCUACUACUGUGCACUGAGAAAUUGUUUUGUAAUAAAACACAACUAAAUCGUUGGUUGUCGAGACAAAGUUGGUUGCUGCUGUGUUCAUUUGCAACUCAUUGUGAACUGUUUGUGUACGUUUGGAGCCGAUUUUUCUAUCCAACGCUAUCAAAACUUUGGACAGAAUCGGUGCGUGAUUCGUCAUUGAGUGUACCUAACCUACACCAACAGAAAUAAUCUGGCUGGAGUUGUGUAAGAAAGUUAUUCGAACGCAUCAAAGUGAACUGUUUGUGUGCGCUAAGAGCCGAUUUUUCAAUUCAACGCUAUCAA